UACGGGGGGGGCAAGCGUUGUUCGGAAUUACUGGGCGUAAAGAGCUCGUAGGCGGUCUGUCACGUCGGCUGUGAAAUCCCGAGGCUCAACCUCGGGUCUGCAGUCGAUACGGGCAAACUAGAGUAUUGGAGGGGAGACUGGAAUUCCUGGUGUAGCGGUGAAAUGCGCAGAUAUCAGGAGGAACACCGGUGGCGAAGGCGGGUCUCUGGGCAAUAACUGACGCUGAGGAGCGAAAGCGUGGGGAGCGAACAGG
rnacentral:rRNA from 1 species